UCUUGCGCAAUGGGCGAAAGCCUGACGCAGCCAUGCCGCGUGAAUGAUGAAGGUCUUAGGAUUGUAAAAUUCUUUCACCGGGGACGAUAAUGACGGUACCCGGAGAAGAAGCCCCGGCUAACUUCGUGCCAGCAGCCGCGGUAAUACGAAGGGGGCUAGCGUUGCCCGGAAUUACUGGGCGUAAAGGGCGCGUAGGCGGACAGUUAAGUCGGGGGUGAAAGCCCGGGGCUCAACCUCGGAAUUGCCUUCGAUACUGGCUGUCUUGAGUACGGGAGUGGUGUGUGGAACUCCGAGUGUAGAGGUGAAAUUCGUAGAUAUUCGGAAGAACACCAGUGGCGAAGGCGACACACUGGCCCGUUACUGACGCUGAGCGCGAAA
rnacentral:rRNA from 1 species